GUUUUGCCUGCUCAGUACCCACUACCCCCUCCCAUAUGCUCAUUGCUUCCUUCCCAUUUUUCUUUCAAGGGGCAUGAUCUUUGAGCUGCGGUUCCCUUUACCUUUUAGCACGCGUAGUAGGCAAAACGACGUUGUUUUCCCUUUUGUGUAUCGUUUUGUUAGAGUGGUAGUCCUUCCCUACGUCAGUUCUCGCUUGCCCGAAC
rnacentral:misc_RNA from 1 species